rnacentral:rRNA from 1 species
UACGGAGGGUGCGAGCGUUGUCCGGAAUCACUGGGCGUAAAGGGCGCGUAGGCGGCCUGAUAAGUAGGGGGUGAAAUCCUGCGGCUUAACCGCAGGGCUGCCUUCUAAACUGUCAGGCUUGAGCACAGUAGAGGCAGGUGGAAUUCCCGGUGUAGCGGUGGAAUGCGUAGAGAUCGGGAAGAACAUCAGUGGCGAAGGCGGCCUGCUGGGCUGUUGCUGACGCUGAGGCGCGACAGCGUGGGGAGCAACAGGA